UGGCGCGGGGAGGAGCCGGGCACCCGCCCCCUCCACCGCCGAGCCGCCCCGCCCCGCCCCGCCCCGCCCCGAGCUCCCUCCCUCCCCGCCCGCCGGCGCCUCCCCGCGGCCCCGCAGGUGCCCGCCGGGGGGGAGGGAGGAGGAGAGGGGGCACGGGCUGUUGGCUCGAGCUGUGCGGAGCCGCACCCCGCGACCUCCCAGGAGGCAGGUGCGGCCACAACCAGGGACACUUCCUGGGGAGCGGCAGGAGGCAGAGGGGAAGCUGCAGGUCUCCCGAGCGCUGCUGCUCAGAGCUCAGAGGUGCCUCAACCCAAAAGACAUUCCUUGCCCAGGAGGACGUUCCAGCUCCCCAUUCUCCUGUGAAAUCUGAAUCAUCAUAACCAGAAAGAAACAUAUUUCUACAUCCUGCUUGUCACCAGACAGUUCUGAGGUUACCAUCUUGCCUCUGGAUAUGUGCUUAAUUGGAUGAAAGACCUAAUACAUGUUCAGUAUUAUUAUUUUAUCAUUGAAGGAUAAGGUCAAAAGGACAGCAAAAUUCCUGGUGUUUGUAAAAAAGACUUCUUUCAUUAUUUUCUUCUGCCAAAGCAGACAGAAAGAAUGAACAUGUGCUACUGGGGAAAGGUAAUAAAGUGUAUACGUGGAAAUCGAGGCAUAUUGAGAAGGGCGAAGAAGGGGAAGUUGUUUUUGUUUUGAACAUCAAAGAGUUUUAUUGCUCUGUUUUAAACCAAGCAAAUCUGCUUAAGAAGGUGAGUUCAGCUGCUUUUGCUCUCAAAGACAGCCAAGAGCUGGUCCGAAGGCGCACACAAUGUCACGGCAUUUCCCAUAAGGGGCAGAGUUCACUUCUGCUGCUUUCAUUCAUUAUCUGCAGCUGUUGGGAAGAGAACGUAGCGCUGAACACAGCGCGAAACCAAAGCACAAACAUGAUUCCAGCAUGAAGCUGCUCGCUUUCUGACCAAUAAGAAGGUUGUACUUAUGGCAACCCCAGGCUGCCUGGACAAAAACAAACAGGAAAGUACUGCAAAAUGUUUCCAAGUGCUAUGUACUGAUAAUUACUCUGUAUUACUUUUUGAGUAAACCUAACUAUUGCGGGUGUCUCACAGAUCCAAUGAAAUUCUCUACCCUAAGAAAAAUAUAUAUUCUAAUAUAGUGAA